AUUUUUCUCUCUCUCUCUUUAACCCUUUGCUCAAAUUUUACAACGAAAAGAGCUAUUUUAGAGAGAGAGAGAGAAAGAGAG